AAGGAGUCUCACUCUUGUUGCCCAGGCUGAUGUGCAAUGGCACGAUCUCGGCUCACUGCAACCCCCACCUCCUGGGUUCAAUCGAUUCUUCUGCCUCAGCCUUCUGAGUAGCUGGGAUUACAGGCAUGCCCCCAGCUAAUUUUUUUUUUUUUUUUUUUUUUUUUUGUAUUUUUAGUAGAGAUGGGGUUUCACCAUGUUGGUCAGGCUGGUCUGGAACUCCUGACCUCAGGUGAUUCGCCCACCUUGGCCUCCCGAAGUGCUGGAAUUACAGGCAUGAGCCACUGCGCCCGGCCCUAUCUUUAAUUUUUUGAGGAACCUCUAUGCUAUUUUUCAUAGCGGUUGCACCAUUUUGCAUUCCCAUCUACAGCGUAAGAGGAUUCCAGUUUCUUCAUAUCCUCACCAGAGCUUUUUGUCUUUUGUCUGAUAAUAGCCAUCCUGACAGGUGUAAGGUGAUAUCUCAUUGUGGUUUGGAUUUGCAUUUCUUUGAUGGUUAGUGACAUAGUUUGGAUAUUUGUCCCCACUCAAAUCUCAGGUUGAAUUGUAAUCCCCAAUGCUGGAGGUGGGGCCUAGUGGGAGGUGUUUGGGUUAUAAGGGUGGAUCCUUCAUGGCUUGGUGCUAUCUUCAAAAUAGUAAAUGAGGUCUCACAGGAUCUGGUUGUGUGGCUUUGGGAGGCUGGGGUGGUGGAUCUCUUGAGCCCAGGAGUUUGAGACCAGCCUGGGCAACAUGGUGAAACCCAAUCUCUACAAAAAAUACAAAAAUUAGCUGGGUGUGGUGGUGCAUGCCUGUGGGCCUAGCUACUGGAGAGGCUGAGGUGGGAAGAUUGCUUGAGCCAGGGAAGUCAAGGCUGCAGUGAGCCGAGAUCGUGCCACUGCACUCCAGCCUGGGUGACAGAGCAAGACCUUGUCAAAAAAAAAAAAAAUUGUGUGGCACCUCCCCCGAAUCUCUCCCACUCUUGCUCCCAUUCUUGCCUUGUGAUGUGCCUGCUCCCCCUUUGUCUUCUGCCAUGAUUGGAAGCUUCCUGGGCCCUCCCCAGAAGCAGAAACUGCUAUGCUUCCUGUACAGCCUCCAGAACCGUGAGCCAAUUAAACCCCUUUUCUUAUAUAUAACCCAGUCUUAGGAUUUCUUUAUAGUAGUGCAAGAACAGCCUUACACAAUUAGUGACAGAGUGUCUUUCUGUUGGGCAUUUGGAUGGCUUCUUUGGAGAACUGUCUAUUCAAGUCUUUAGCCCAUUUUAAAAUUGGGUUAUCAUUAUUUUUUUUGCUAUCAAGUUGUAGGUAGUCCCUAUGUAUUUUGGAAAUUAUCCCCUUAUCAGAUGUAUGGUCUGCCAACAUUUCUCCACCCUGUAGAUUGCCUUUUUUACUCUGUUGAUUAUUUCCUUUGCUUUGCAGAAUUUUUUUAGUUUGGUGUAGAACCACUUAUUUAUUUCUGCUUUUGUGGCCUGUGCUUUUGGUGUCAUAGCCAUGAAAUCGCUGCCAAGACUAAUAGCAUGAAGAUUUCCCCUAUGUGUUCUUCUACGAGUUUUAUAGUUUAGGUCUAAUAUUUAAGUCUUUAAUCCAUUUUUAGUUGAUUUUUGGGAUAGUGUAAAUUAAGGCUGCGAUUUCAUUCUUUUAGAUGUGAAUAUCCAGUUUUCCCGACACUAUCUGUUGAGGAGACUUUUGUCAUUAUGUAUUCUUGGCAUCCCUGUCAAAGAUCAGUUGACCAUUAUUUGCAGAUUCUGUUAAGUCUCUCUCUAUUGUGUUCCACUGGUCUAUAUGGCUGUCUUCAUACCAGUACCAUAUUGUUUUCAUUUCUGUAGUUUUGUAAAAUAUUUUGUAAUCAGGAAGUGUGAUGCCUUCAGCUUUGCUCUUCAUUUUCAAGAUUAGUUUGGCUAUUUGGGGUCUUUUUUGGCCUCACAUGAAUUUUAGAAUUGCUUUUUUUUUUUUAAUUCUGUAAAAAAUGCCAUUGCAGUUUUGAUAGGGAAUGCAUUCAAUCUGUAGAUGACUUUGGGUAGCAUUGGACAUUUUAACAACAUUAAGUUUUCUAAUCCAUGACCAUGGGAAGUCUUUCCAUUUAUUUGGAUCUUCUUCAAUUUCAUUUAUCAAUGUUUUGUAGUUUUCUGUUUAUAAGUGUUUCACCCCUUAGUUAAAUUUGUUCCUAAAUAUUGAACGGGGUCUUGCUAUGUUGCCUAGGCUGGUCUUGAACUCCUGAGCUCAAGCGAUACUCCCACCUCAGCCUUUGUGACCUGCCCGCCUCAGCCUCCCAAAGUGCUGGGAUUACAGGUGUGAGCCACUGCGCCUGGCCAAUUUUUUUCUAUUUUUUAUUCUCUAUAUUGUCGAUUUCUCCUCUAAUUUUUAUUAUUUCAUUUCUUCUGUUAACUUUGGGCAUAGUUUGUUCUUCUUCUUCUAGUGGUUUUUUUUUUUUUUGAGAUGGAGUCUCGCUCUCUCACCCAGGCUGGAAUGCAGUGGCGCGAUCUCGGCUCACUGCAAGCUCUGCUUCCCAGGUUCACGCCACUUCUUCUAGUUUUUUGAGAUGUAAAGUUUGGUUGUUUGAGAUGUUUCCUCUUUUUAAUAUAGGCAUUCAUUGCUAUAAACUUCCCCGUUAGUACUGCUUUUGAUUCAACCCAUAAGUUUUGGUAUGUAGUAUUUUUAUUUUUAAUUUAAUUUAGUUUUUUCAGAGAUGGAGUCUCACUCUGUUGCCCAGGCUGGAGCACAGUGGUGCAAUCAUAGCUCACUGCAUCCUUGAUCUCCCUGGCUCUAUAAAUCUUACUGCCUCAGCCUCCCAAGUAGCUGGGACUACAGGUAUUUGCCACAAUGCCUGGCUAAUUUUUUGUUAGUUAGUUUGUUUCUGUACAGAAGGGGUCUCACUAUCUUGCCCAGGCUGUUCUAAGACUCCUGGGCUCACAUAAUCCUUCUGUCUUGGCCUCCCAAAGUGCUGGGAUUACAGGUGUGAGCCACUGCACCCAGCUGGUAUGUAGAAUUUCCAUUUCUAUUCAUCUUAAGAUUUUUUUUGAUUUACCUUUUUUUUUUUUUUUUUUUUUUGAGACAGAGUCUUGCUGUCCCAGGCUGGAGUGCAGUGGUGCAAUUAUGGCUCACUGAAGCCUCAGUCCUCCAGGCUCAAGCGAUCCUCUUGCCUCAGCCUCCAGAGCAGCUGGGACUAUCAGCAUAUGCCACCACACCUGGCUAAUUUUCUUGAUUUUCUUUUCUUCCUUUUUUUUUUUUUUAGUAGAGAUGAGACCUCACUUUGUUGCCCAGGCUGGUCUUGAACUCCUGAG
rnacentral:lncRNA from 1 species